UAGGUGGGAAUUGAACAAUGAGAUCA
rnacentral:piRNA from 1 species